UGUCCCGUGGUGUAAUGGUAGCACAGCAGAUUUUGGUUCUGUUAGUCUGAGUUCGAAUCUUCGCGGGACAA
rnacentral:tRNA from 1 species